UCUUUUGCCUUCUAUCCUGGA
rnacentral:misc_RNA from 1 species